CAUAAAGCUGCUUCUCUGAGUUUUGUCUGGGAGGACAAAAGCAAGCGUAAUUCCUCAUGCACAGGAUCAGCUGGAAGAGUGCUUGGAUUUAUCCAUGGGACCGUGCCUGAUAUGUCUCAGUAUUCAUCAGAAACUCCUAAUUUUUGCACUAGCGUUUACUUGUGCAACUUUUUUUGAGUAUAUAAUCAACAACUUCUUUAUACAUCUGCUGUGGCAUGUGCUGGCUGUGCUACUAUAAAUCCUUGUAUUGAAUGUAGCUCUAAAGCUACUAGAGUUUCACAGGUAUCAAUUCUCCAACAUAAUUCUUAAAAAUAUAAAAUUAGGCAGUAAUGUUGUUAACUUGGAACUCAUAUAUAUUUUCAGCUCAAGAGCUUUCUACAAAACACAUGGCAGAAAAGCAAAAUGAACAACAACAUAAAUUCUGAGUUUGUAAAAUGUUCACUUUCAUUUCCAGCGAUGAUAGUUGUUCCAGUCCUGUCUUAUACUGCCAGAAAAUAUUUAGAAUUACUUAUAUAUACUUGUGAUCCAUUCUGCCAGGCAAAACUGUGUGCUAUAUAAAGACAGAUGUGAAAGAGCUGUGUAUUCUGUCACUUUACUGGUAGAUUGUAUCAUACUGAGACCAGCUGGAGUCAGCGAGAUGGUUCAUAUUUAUCUAGAAGUUUUCAACAUGUUCAUUGAAACAAUACUUCUUUUUUUACUCAAGAAAAAAAAUAUGCAGAGAAAUAGAAAUUAUCGGAGCUCUUCUGUAGGAUGCUAUUGCAGUCAAGACUUGUUGCCUUCGUUCCAGUUGCAUGUGGAGAUGGGUGGAGUGUAGCAGUCACCAGACAGAAAAUAAAACAAAGCACUUGGAGCUGGCAGCUGGACCAAUACAACACAGUAAAAGUUGGCAACAAAGCCCGUGAAUCAUUCCAGAAAUAAAAUGGUAGGGAUUUACGCUUUGGACAAAUAUUACUCUGCAAUAAAAUUAUAUGAAUCUUCAUCAAGAAACGAAUCUAAACAGGAUUUUUUUAUUUUUUUUUUUAGAGGGCUUCAAAAUUAAAUACCUCUGUUGUCCAGUAACUGUGGAGUUUAUAAGAGAAGACCAUCUGUUCCAGAGACCAACAACACAACCUGUGCAGCUAGGCAGCAGGAUAGCACAACUUUAUGCGGGUCCAAUACAAAUAUCAUGGAUAUAUACCAGGAAAACUACAAUACCUAAGUGAGCCUCACUGACAUUUCCUUUUAAAUUCCUGUCUAUAAUGUCUAUCUAAAUGAUUCCCUGGAAGGACAUCCCUGUGCAUCAUGCUUUCUUUUCAGGGCACAAAAGGAAAACUGUGACCUAAGAACUCUGAGAAACAAAUGGAAAAGAAUGAAGUCUGAUCUCGUGACUCCAUUUGGAUUCUUCAUCCAGCACUGCUGGAGGAAUUACAUAGAAAGAGAUGAAGUUCCUGCUAUUGCUGAACGCUGUAGGAGGAACAACAGUAUAAUGGAGAAGAGAAAGGAAUAAUUUGCAGGUAAUGUCACAGGGAAUCAGCUGUGGUUCUCCUACAGUAAAGGUGAGCAGGAAGAGAAACCAAGUCUACAGUGCAAUUGACACUCUGAAAUGGACUGACCACCUGCAGCCAAGCGUGGACCAAAUGGGAAAUAAAAUCAAUAGAAAAUAGAACUUGUCA
rnacentral:lncRNA from 1 species